UAAUCUGCGAGGGGUGGCGCAAAGCUAGUUAAACUUAAGCGUAUCCUCAAAGGAGGUUCCUUGAUACUGGUCAAGGGCUCUUGAUCUAAGGAGCUGGAUCUAGUGUUGUAUGACUCCUUCGGGUUUAGCGUUUCUCCAAAGGCGGCGCCAGAAUUUCUACACUGGGGGAGACUUUGGGUGGCUGUCUGUUAGGAAAGGCUAGGAAUCUUGUUUUGGAGCGGCAGUAUUGUUUUAAGAUUGAAGACAGUUUUGUUGUGAAAAACUGUAACUAAAAGCCUUCAGUAAAGUUCCUGAAAGCUGUCACCUAAACUUUUCGCUUCAAUUCCUUCAACAUGAAUCGUAGUAUCAAAGGAAGAUCAUCUCGACCACCUGGGUCUCUUGGAGCCGAACUUGAAAACCAGUUUAUUCUCAGAUUAUUGUCUCCUCAAGCAAGUGUACUAAGAGAGGCUAUAAGACAAGGCCAAACAAACAUCAAAGAUCGUUUGGCAAUUCAGCUGGACUUCACCAAUGAUAAAGAUGACAUGCGAAAUGGUGUCAUUACCUUUGACACCAUCAUGUACAGAGCAAGACCAGGUUGCACUGAACGUUUCUAAAGUACUUUCACAAGCUAACACCAGAGUCGCCAUCGCUUCCAGCACUUCAAUAAAUGUUCUAACCAGGACAAAAUCCAAGCACCAUGAACCAGUCAAUGCAGGGGUUUACACUAUACCCUGUGGAGGAUGCGACAAGAUAUAUGUAGGUGAAACAGCAAGAAACCUCGACACCCGCCUCAAUGAACACAUUUAUGCCUGUAGGAAUGAUAACUUGAACAACGCCUGUGUACAACACCAGAAUUCCACCAACCAUCUCAUAAAAUUCAGGGACGCCCAAUUAGUUAUCAAAGAAACUAAUUUCUGCAGACGCAAGUGCCUUGAAUCAUCGCUAAUCGCUGUUUCUAAUAUAAUUAAGGAAAACAAAGGCAGCUUCACUAUCUCUGAAGUCUUAGCAAGAAUCCUCCUGAAAACUAAACCCUGCCAUCACAUAGUCUCCUGCUAAUACUACACUAGCACAUUACAGAGGAUGAACACUGAAAGAGGCCUUCUCUAAUUCAACCUCCAAUAGAAAUAUUUAUCUAACAUAUUUUUAUGCUACCCAAGUAAUAGCUUUUAUAUCCUUUUAUUCAUGUGCAAAUUAAUUGUAUUACUACUGCUACUACAACUUAUAUUACUACUUCUACUACUACUACUACCACUAGUAUUACACCUCACUCUAAGCCUAUAUAUACCCUCUGUGUCCAUAUAUUGUUUGUAACGGCGUGACAAAGCUCCUGGAGAGCGAAACGUUGCCACAUUAAAAAUGUCACAUUAGUUGCACUUGUGUCCUUUUACUUUACGAAUUUUGCUCAGUUCAGGUACUUUUCAGGCAGACUGGAAUGUAGUCUGCAAGUUUUGCAUUCAUAAUAUUGCCUAUCCACAGGUUUUGUUUUUAUAUAACAUUGCUUGUUAUCAGUGAGUCCGGUUCAAGAUACCAUGGCUUGUAUGUCAUUUCAUGAACUUAUACAGUGGUACCUCGAGUUUCAAAGUGCUCCUAACUCGAGCAAUUAUGUAAGUGUAUUUUUGGGGGUCUGAAAUGGACUAAUCUAAUUUACAUUAUUCGUUUGGUAUUGGCACUCUAACAGCCUUCUGGAAUGAAUUAAGUUCGUAACUCGAAGUACCACUGUACUAUACAUAUAAGAACCCCAGCUAGCUUUGUAGUACAAUAGCUGAGCUUCUGGCACUGCUAACUUUCAUGUAAUAUCUGACUCCGAUGUGAAGGCUAUUUGUAACAUACUGCUGUCAUUUUAUUUUCCAGAUUUUUAUUUAAUAUUUUACUUGAUUCAAUUAUAUACAAUACAUGUACUACGUAUACAGUGGAACCUCGGUUUUCAUGAUUAACAGAAAAUACAUUUUAUAGAGAAUAACUACAGUUUUACAUACAGAAAACAGCGAGAAAUAUAUGUAAAUGACUAAUGAAAUGGAAAAAGGAACAUUUAACAUCACUUUUACCUUUAUUGGUGAAUGGAAGACAACGAGGAGGGUAUAGGGAGGAGGAAAGGUUAUUGUUUGGAAGGGGAAUCUCCCUCCAUAAGGACUACAGGUAUUAAGACCCUAUCUGGGGUUACUUCCCUUCUUUGUCUUUUACUGGCACUAGGACCAGCUUGAGAGUCACUGGACCCCUGUUGCACAAAAAAAUCUGUCCAGAGAGGUCUGUUUCUGGCAUCUUUAAAAUUUGCCUAAAAUGGGACUAGGCAUUGUCAUUGAACAUGUUGCAGACAUGGCUUGCAAUAGCUUUGUUAGGGUGAUAUUUGUCUACAAAACUUUGCAACUCAUUCCACUUUGCACACAUGUCCUUUAUCACUGAAGAAGACACAUUCUUACAAUGCUCACUCAAUGAGAAACAAAGCCAGACUGAGUCAGAACACGUGGGAUGCUUUGUGUGGGCACGGGCAGGCAGAUGCAUUUGGUACGGCAGAGCAUUGUCAACUCUAUGAAAACUGAGCAGAUGUACAAAAUCUGGGACAAAAUUUUGACAAGAAAAGUCGUUGAAAACCGAAUCCUACGAAAACCAGGGCAUGCGAAAACUGAAGUUCCAUUGUACUGUAAAUAUAUGAUAUGUUUAAGAGUCCAUUCCGUAGUUCUACUGCUUUGAAGCUGGGGUCCAAGCCAAAGUACUACAUCAUGAGCUCAGCUCACUCAGAAAAGCUGUGAGCAGUAAAUUUGGGUCUAGAUAUGAGAAAAUGCAUCUAUAUGGUAAGUGUGCACCAUAUAAAACAAAUCCUGCUCCACGCAGUGCAUAAUGAGAAAAAAGUGCAACUCUGUUUUUUGGAUUAAAACAGUGACUUUGUGGUGUAUUUUCAUUGUGUUUUUUACUGCUGUAUUUGCAGUUUCUUAGCCUCAUUUGAUAGCAUGGAGAAUGUUAUAGAAAUAGAGAUGAUUUUGAUUGGUUUUAGUACUGAAAAUAGCUUGAAAUAGAGCUCAGAGUAGCGGAAUUGUUCAAUUUUUGCCGAUGUUCAAGAGUAAAUAAAUCACAUCACGUGGUCAAUACACAUGCAUUCACUAUACAUUAUUGCAUGACAGUAAAUCUUCUGUUUUUUUGAUGUGACUAAAAAUUCUUCAUGUGAAUAAAAAAUCAAAAUGGAAUUCAUUUGUAAAGCCUGGAAACAUAAUUAAUAAACAGAGGAAACAUUAUUUCAGUGCC